rnacentral:rRNA from 1 species
UGGGGAAUAUUGGGCAAUGGGCGCAAGCCUGACCCAGCAACGCCGCGUGAGGGAAGAAGGUCUUCGGAUUGUAAACCUCUGUCCUUGGGGACGAAAAAAAUGACGGUACCCAAGGAGGAAGCUCCGGCUAACUACGUGCCAGCAGCCGCGGUAAUACGUAGGGAGCGAGCGUUGUCCGGAAUUACUGGGCGUAAAGGGUGCGUAGGCGGCAUGGGAAGUCAGAUGUGAAAUCCCCGGGCUUAACUCGGGGGGUGCAUUUGAAACUGCCUUGCUUGAGUGCAGGAGAGGAAAGCGGAAUUCCUAGUGUAGCGGUGAAAUGCGUAGAUAUUAGGAAGAACACCAGUGGCGAAGGCGGCUUUCUGGACUGUAACUGACGCUGAGGCGCGAAAGCGUGGGGAGCAAACA